AUGACGUACACUUGAACAGAUCAUGACACGAAGUACAGGCAGUCGGGCCGGUGGCAGACGAAAGAAUACACAAAAGAAGACAGACACUGUGUCGCCUGUGAGAAGGGGAAUAUCUUAUCCCAUAGGACUUGGCUUGUCUCCCUGUGGGCACCUGUUGCCAUAGCAACCUGCACUGGGAGUUCAGUUUGGUCUGGUCAGUGGUAGGGGAUCAUGGGAUGUGAAAGGGGCCAGUGAAAGGGCGUGCCACCAUCAUCAACCCUGUUUCCUCCAUACUUCAACUCAGGCCUCCUUGCUCUUGUCUGCGGGCCCAAGAAACCCUCUGCCCUUCAUGCAUUCAUUCAUAACUGGAACACAUAUAGAUCUUCAUCAGGAACGGCCAAAAAAAAAUCAACCAACUCACAGUGUCUGUGGAGACUCACUCUUGACAGUGGCAGUCCUGGUGCAGUUGUAGAGUAUAGCCAACUCUCCAAACACCUUCCCUGGCCCCAUGGUGCAGAGCUUCAGGCUCUCCUUCGUCACUUCCACCUUGCCGUCUGAAACAUGCACAGAAAUACAGCAGGAAUUGACUUUGUGACUAAGACUGGACAGAAGAAAACUUCAGCAUGAAUGAGCAGGAAGGGAACUGUAAUAACAAUAGGUCACUUGCCCUUCCUCAUGUGUCACCGGUCUGAUCAUCUCCCUUGAUUCCUGAUGUGUCCACCUGUUCCCCAUUACCCUAAUGUGUCUUAUAGUCUGUGUCUCCCUUUGUCCUGUGCCAGAGUAUUUCGUUCAGUCAUGUACCCCACCUAUUGCCACAGUCCUUGCCUUGACCCAUGCCAAGAGCUUUCACAUUUGUAUUUCUGAUUCCUUGCUUCCUCUUAAGUAGAGUGAUUUUUUUUUGUUGCAAAUUUGUCAGCUCAGUUUUGAAGCUCAGUUUAAUUUUGUAGCUGUUUUCUUGGUGUGUUUUUUGUUUCAUAAAUUUUCAGCUCAGUCGUGUAGCAUAGAUUAAGUUUACAGCCGAAUUGUUUUCCUGUGUUGGAGUGUUUUUCAUUGUUAAUUUUCAGAGCAUUAUCUCAUAGAGUAAUUUAGUUCAUAACCUUUUUCCUUUGCCCCCUUUGGAGUGAUUUUCUCUUGUUUUUUACCUUGAGGUCUUCUGCCUCCGUGUUUUGUUUUGAGUGUAUAGGAAUAGGAAGGUUUUUUUCAUAGCCUGAUAGGGAGGUCCUUAUGCAUCUGUGCCCAGGGAGACAGUAGUUCAUAAUAUUAUAGCGUGACAUUUGUGUCAAUAACUGUCAAGCACAGGUGACUUCAGGAUGGAGGGAGGGGGGUCCCCAAUUCAGAUUCUGCUCAGGGCCCCCAAAAGGGCCCCCAAAAGGCUUGGACCGGCAUUGCACUGCCAUGUCACUCCAUUUUGUGAAUUGUUGAGUUGUCCAUGUCAAAUUCUUAUUUAUCCGAGCCAUCUCAUAAAUUUUCCAUUAAAGGCAAAAAUUAUUUCUGUUCUU